UACGGAGGGUGCGAGCGUUGUCCGGAAUCAUUGGGCGUAAAGGGCGCGUAGGUGGCGGGACAAGCGUGCGGUGAAAGCCUGGGGCUCAACCCCGGGUCGGCCGUGCGAACUGUUUUGCUUGAGCACUGUAGAGGCAGGCGGAAUUCCGGGUGUAGCGGUGGAAUGCGUAGAGAUCCGGAAGAACACCGAUGGCGAAGGCAGGUCUCUGGGCCGAUACUGACGCUGAGGAGCGAAAGCGUGGGGAGCGAACAGG
rnacentral:rRNA from 1 species